UUGGGUCACACACUCGUGUCUCUGUUCUAAUCAUGCCCUUGAGGACCCAAAUUCCACCGCACUUAAUUCAGUUUGACAAUCACAGCUCCAAAAGGAAUCAAUCCUCAAAGAGACAAUAGUAUUCCCCGCAUCUGACUCAAGUUAAUCCAAGUUCAAGAAAAUAUAUGCUAAUCAAAGUAAACAUACAGAGAAAAAGGAAAAAGUUAUUACA
rnacentral:lncRNA from 1 species